CUAACAUACAGUUCAAUGAAAUUGUGCUCACAUUUGAGGUCAACCAAAUCCUGCGCCAAGCGAUGGAAGUGAAGCAGAUCGUUUUGGUUAGUUUUGUUAUGUUGACAUUGGUCGCCACUAGUAUUGCAAUCAGCCCAAGGUUAUCGACUGGCAGCGGCGGUGGGAACAUUCCACUCCAUGCCAAAAGAAAAUUGGGAAAACAGAAGCCACUGAAAGCUUCUAUGAAGUCUCGUGCCGCGAAACACGAUCUGAUGAAGAAUAAGAAAGACCAGAAAGCCCCACCAUUUCAAAGUUGGGGACAACUGAGUUAGAACUUCAACUGGCAUAAAAUGUUACUGUUUACCUACGAUUUAUAAUCCGCCUUCUGUAAUCAUAAAAUAUCUAAAAGCAAAGCAGUAAGAUUUGAUAUUAAACUGAUAAGAUCAAAAUAAAAAUGUCGUUAUCUUCAGCAUAAAGAUCAAUAAAAAAUCAUAUUAAAGAA